AGUUAAAUUCUACUAUUAAGGG
rnacentral:tRNA from 1 species